GAUGAACGCUGACAGAAUGCUUAACACAUGCAGUCACUGAUUGUGACGGACGGGUGAGUAACGAGUAAAGACCUUACCUCACAGUUAGGGACAACAAUUGGAAACGACUGCUAAUACCAAAUACUGUGAGAGAGCUUUGCGUCCCAUUAGCUAGUUGGAGAGGUAACGGCUCACCAAGGCGAUGAUGGGUAGCCGGCCUGAGAGGGUGAUCGGCCACAAGGGGAUUGGGACACGGCCCUUACUCCUACGUGAGGCAUCAGUGGGGAAUAUUGAACAAUGUACCACAGUCUGAUCCAGCAAUUCUGUGUGUACGAUGAAGUUUUCGGAAUGUAAAGUGCUUUCAGUUGGGAAUCGGUACCAACAGAAGAAGUGACGGCUAAAUACGUGCCAGCAGCCGCGGUAAUUC
rnacentral:rRNA from 1 species